AGACAAGCCUCGAGCCGUUGUUGGUGCUUGCUCGACGCGGCUUCGGCUUUGAAUGUGGAUUUGAAUUUGUCAAAUGAUAGAUCAUUUGAAACUUGAGAGUUAAUGAUCUUUUAAUCUAAAAAUCUGAUACAAAAAUAUUCUCUACUUGCGGCAUGGAGCAUGUGUGGAGGCAUGUCAUAAUUCACCUUGAAGGAACGCGACCCUUCGAGGCACUGUUUGGAAGCAAAAAUAACUACAUGCAAGCGAAGGUGUGGGUCCUGUGGGUGGCGACGGUCCGGAGCAAUGCAUCUAUUCAAGAACCAUUGCUUCCUUUCUGAAGCUAAAGGCUUCAUCAUUGACUAGA
rnacentral:lncRNA from 1 species